GAACUGUGUUCUAUCCUCUUUAAUGUUCAUCACACAUGGAAACAGAAAAUAUGUAUAAGUGAAGUUAGAUGGGACUGACAUAGAUAACAGGAAACUCUAACCAAGGAAACUCUUAUUUUCAUUCAGGCAUAAUAGUGUCUCCAUUGUCAGUCAUUUAUUUAACAUGCUCUGUCCAUACUAACAGACGAGUGAAGCAAACAAUACAGUGUGCGUACAACUCAUUUCAGGGUUCAGAGGAGCUCAGUGAUGAUCAGUAACACCUUAAAAAAAAAAACAGGCAGGUUUUUCCCAAAGUGUGUGGUGCAUUUUGUCACAAGACUGGCUUGUAUCAUUUUGAUUUUAGUGUAAAAUUAUUACCAGCACACAAAAUCAUUUCCUUUCUGCAUUGUCCCAAUAAUUUCAAAGACAGUUAUUUACC